rnacentral:sRNA from 1 species
AGCAGCCGCGGUAAUUCCAGCUCCAAUAGCGUAUAUUAAAGUUGUUGCAGUUAAAAAGCUCGUAGUUGAAUUUCGGGAUCAAUAUGUUGGUCGUGCCUUGGUACGUACUGGCAUUAUUGGUUCCUACCUUCUGAAGAACCUCGAUGUCAUUAAUUUGGUGUCUUGGGGAAUCAGGACUGUUACUUUGAAAAAAUUAGAGUGUUUAAAGCAGGCUCGCGCUUGAAUACAUUAGCAUGGAAUAAUGAAAUAGGACGUUUGAUUCUAUUUUGUUGGUUUCUAGGAUCGACGUAAUGAUUAAUAGGGAUAGUUGGGGGCAUUAGUAUUCAAUUGUCAGAGGUGAAAUUCUUGGAUUUAUUGAAGACUGACUACUGCGAAAGCAUUUGCCAAGGAUGUUUUCAUUAAUCAAGAACGAAAGUUAGGGGAUCGAAGACGAUCAGAUACCGUCGUAGUCUUAACCAUAAACUAUGCCGACUAGGGAUCGGAUGAUGUUAAUUUUUUAAUGACUCAUUCGGCGCCUUAC